UUGGAGGGCAAGUCUGGUGCCAGCAGCCGCGGUAAUUCCAGCUCCAAUAGCGUAUAUUAAAGUUGUUGCAGUUAAAAAGCUCGUAGUUGAAUUUCGGGGUUAGUAGGUUGGUCAUGCCUCUGGUAUGUACUGGUCUCACUGAUUCCUCCUUCCUGAUGAACCUUAAUGCCAUUUAUUUGGUGUUUUGGGGAAUUUGGACUGUUACUUUGAAAAAAUUAGAGUGUUUAAAGCAAGCUAACGCUUGAAUACAUUAGCAUGGAAUAAUGAAAUAGGACGUUCGAUCCUAUUUUGUUGGUUUCUAGGAUUGACGUAAUGAUUAAUAGGGAUAGUUGGGGGCAUUAGUAUUCAAUUGUCAGAGGUGAAAUUCUUGGAUUUAUUGAAGACUAACUACUGCGAAAGCAUUUGCCAAGGAUGUUUUCAUUAAUCAAGAACGAAAGCUAGGGGAUCGAAGACGAUCAGAUACCGUCGUAGUCUUAACCAUAAACUAUGCCGACUAGGGAUCGGAUGAUGUUAAUUUUUUAAUGACUCAUUCGGCGCCUUACGGGAAAC
rnacentral:rRNA from 1 species